ACGCCGCGAUGGGAACUAGUUAUUCGGGCUUGUGGGAGCACUCUUAGUGGAUGCACAAGGAGUCAGAAAAAACAUGUACUUCCUGUAAAAAGCCUGGAACGCAAUUCGAGCAUGGACAUCAUGGAGAAGUAAUGUAAUUGUGAUUUAUGUUAUCAUGCUGCAAUUGUCCUCACUUCUGAAGAAGCAUUACUCAGACUACAGCAAGAUCUCAGUAUUUAUUGAAUUCAUUUCAAGCCUGACAACACCAGCAGAGACAAUAUACCAAGGACACCAUCUUCUAGAGCAAAUUUUGAGCAAUGUAUUGUAUCCUUGGUAUACAAGACUAUUACACAGCAGUAAACUUCAAAAGCCUACUUCUUGUUGUUUUUUUUAUACAGAGCAACUCUGGAAUGCUCUUGUGACUUUACUUUUCUGUAUGAAGCAAUAUAUGACUGCUGCAAUGCAUAUGCAUUUGAGACGUAUUGUAGGGUUUCUAAGAGAAUAAAAGAAAUGUCAUAUUUUGAAAAA